GCAUCGGUGGUUUAGUGGUAAAAUUAGCCGUUGCCAUAAGCUAGGAUUCACUCCUAGCUUGCAGCUUCGGCUAGCCCCGGGUUCGAUUCCCGGCCGAUGCA